UUGGCAGCAGUGCAUGGGGAGCGGAAGGAGGGCCCCAGCGGCACCCGAUCAGGCCACUAAAGACAUUUCGGACCUAACCUCUGCUUCCACCCCAAAACUGGAGAGGAUACCCCCAGCAAGGUCGUGAUGGACCCCCAGGCCCCUGCCCGGCUGCCCCAGCCCUGGGAGAGGCAGGCAGCCCGGGGGCCAUGGGGAGAGGUGCACCAUGGCCCCCCACUGCAGCCCAGGAGGGGGGGUCUCCACACAGGGCCCCGGCCUCGGCCCGGCUCCUGGGAUGGGGGUCACCCCCCAGGCCACCCUCCCCGCAGGGAUGCUGGCAGGCUGGCUGCCCUGGCUGAGCGCUAUGAAAGCAGCUACCCCAGCAGGCCCUACUCCAGGCAAGGAUAUGAAGACCCCCACUGGCAGUACCCAGCAGCCAGCUAUGGGGAUGAUUACACCUACCAAAGCUACCAGUGGCAGCCAGUGGCCUGGCAGGGUGACAGAGACCUGAGACAGGGGGAGCAUUACAGCAAGAGUACCAACUACCAGGACCAGCACUACUACAAGGGUUACCACCCCAACCUGGCUGCAAGCUCCCCGGCGCCAGAUAGGAAGCAGACCUGCGACCCCUAUGACGACAGCUACACCUUGGCUGCCAGAAAGGAGAGGGCAGGGGGGGAAACCCACAGCAGUGAUUUGGGGGAGGCUGGUGGCCAGCCCCAAGAGCCAUCAGACCAGCCCAGCCUGCUCCUGCAGUACCACGAGUCAGGGCUCAGCUCCAGUGGCUAUGAGCUCAGCCAGUACAUCCGUGAAGGUGCUGACCACUAUGACCCUGCUCUUUCAGGGACCUGGGGCCUGGCACAAUCAGGGAGGCCCUUGGUGUCCACCCCAGCCCCAGUGGUACCCCUCAAGUUCUCAGUGCCACACACGGUGGUGUGCUUUGGAGCCAGAGGCCAGCUGGUGCUGGUGUGUCCCCGCCACCCUGCCAAGGGGCAGCUAGCCCUUGUUGAGCUACACAGCCUGGAGGUUGUCCUUCAUGGCACAAAAGAGCUGGAGGAACUACAGGCCUUCCCAGGGCCCCUGGCCAGGGAAGAUCUGCACAAGGUGGAUGUGAUGACAUUUUGCCAGCAGAAGAUAGCCACAAGCUGUGAUCUCUCAACACAGAGAGGCAGAGAUUCAUGUCUUCUCUGGAAACUCCUGGUCCUUCUCUGCCGGCAGAAUGGGUCCAUGGUGGGCUCAGACACAGCUGAGCUGCUGAUGGAAGACUGCAGGUGCCAGAAGUACAAGAGGCAAAACCCUGCGGCAAACCUGAUAGGCCUGACAAAUGACGAAUGGAUGUCGCAUCAGACAGGGACACUGGACCUCAUCACAGGGGACAUCCCUCCCGUUGUGGAGACACAGGCACAGAUAGUGGAGAAGUUCACCAAGCUCCUCUACUAUGGCAGGAAGAAAGAUGCUCUAGUCUGGGCCAUGAGAAACCAUCUUUGGGGACAUGCCCUCUUCCUCUCCAGCAAGAUGGACCCUCGAACCUACAGCUGGGUGCUCUCUGGGUUCACCAGCACACUGGUCACCAAUGACCCCCUGCAGACCCUCUUCCAGCUCAUGUCAGGAAGAAUCCCUCAGGCAGCGCUGUGCUGUGGAGAUGGCACGUGGGGAGACUGGAGGCCCCACCUGGCUGUGCUGUUGUCCAACAAGGUUGGAGACACGGAGCUGAACCACCGAGCCAUCGUCACCAUGGGAGACACUUUGGCUGGCAAGGGAUCAGUUGAAGCAGCUCAUUUCUGCUACCUGAUGGCAGAUAUCCCCUUUGGUUACUUCGGGGUGAAGGCAGAUCGCAUGGUUCUGCUGGGCAGCAGCCACCGGCAGGGGUUUGCCCAGUUUGCCAGAAUGGAGGCCAUCCAGCGGACGGAAAUCUUUGAGUACUGCCAGCGGCUACGGCAGCCUGAAUCCUUCCUGCUCCCCUUCCAGAUAUACAAGCUCCUCUAUGCCUCUCUCUUGGUUGACUAUGGACUCCCAGCCCAGGCCCUGCAAUACUGUGAGCAGAUUGCCACCGUGCUCCUAAGCCAGGAUCCAUCCAGCCAUCCUGUCCUGGCCCGGCAAGUGAUGAAGCUGGCCGAGCGGCUGAAACUCUCUGACCCUCUGCUCCUGGAGAUGCCAGAGCAGGACCAGAUGCUGGAGCCUGACUGGCUGGUACAGCUCCAAGGCUGCUGCCGAGAGUGGGAGGUGGAAGAUGACCUCCCACUGGAUGUGUCACUCACUCAGCCAGGGCUCUCCUGUGCUGCUGCAGUGAUGGCAGAUGAAGAGCCUGGCCAUGAGCUUCCCCAGAGUGAAGGCUACCGGCGUGACCAGUAUCAGCCUGUGCCACCCCAGGGAUCCAGCUCCCAACAGGAUGUGUCCCUCUGCUCUUUGGCCCCUGUUCAGGACACAGCAUCACCACUGCUCAGCAUUGGGCAGGAGCUGCAGCCCCCAGUGCUCGACCCAGGGACAACCACCCCUCUGGGAGUGGAUUUUGCUGAGCCCCCUCUACAGCCACUGCCACCAGCAGGAGAAGCUGGGGAGCCCUGGGGUGCCCUGUUGUCCCCUGAGGGGGUGCAGCCAUCCCUCCCAAAAGAGCAGGAGGGGUUAAAGGCUCAGACUGUCUCGGAGAGCUCCACUGUUUCCUUGGAAGAUGACAGCCGGCCUUCCUCAGAGAGCGUGGCUGAGGAUACUGCUGAAGAGCUGGCAUCAGCAGAGGCACUGAAGCUGGAUGAGGACAAGAACUCUGGAUUCAGGUGGUUUGGCUGGUUUCGGUCGAAGCCCACCAAGGAAACCUCUCCCAGAGAUGUGUCUGAGACUUCACCAGACUCCCCCACACUGGAACUGCAGAAGUCUUCUCAGCAUGCGAGGAACUUCUGCUUUACAUGGGUGGAUGUGCUUUCAGGAACAGACAUCACCAUUCCCAUCCGACACCCCUCUUGCAGCUCGGACAGCCCCUUCGGCUCAGCCUCCCUCCAGAAACCCUGCAGGCUUGCAAGGGGAAAAUGCUUUUGCUAUUACUCCGCUGUCCAUUGAGAUGAAAGGAUCAUGGGAGUCAGCAGGAGAGCAGACUGGCUUCCAUGAACAUCCACCACCAGUGGGGGCAGUCCCCCUGUUCAACCCUCUGCAGGUCUCCCAGCUCAUUACUGCCUCUCGACCCACCCAACCCAGGCUGCUUUCCCAGUGGCGCUACCCCAACCCUCUCUGAAGCAGAAAUCAAUAGCAGUGACCAUUGUGAACCAAAA